AUUAGGUGCAUGGUUUAUAUCUAAUUUAGGAAUGCAUAUGGAUUAGAAUCCCAUUACUUUCUCUGCUAAUGAGAUCAGCAUGUGGUAUAAAUGGCUUACCAUGACAGGGGGUGAAGAUGUGUGUUUAACAUGACUCCCGACGAUGGAAUGUCAUGUUAGAAUGGGCUGUCAUGGGACUAUAUACAUGCAGGAAGCGGUUUAUUUUAUCACACCUUUGUUAUU